GACGAACGCUGGCGGCGUGCUUAACACAUGCAAGUCGAACGGAAAGGCCCUGCUUUUGUGGGGUGCUCGAGUGGCGAACGGGUGAGUAACACGUGAGUAACCUGCCCUUGACUUUGGGAUAACUUCAGGAAACUGGGGCUAAUACCGGAUAGGAGCUCCUGCUGCAUGGUGGGGGUUGGAAAGUUUCGGCGGUUGGGGAUGGACUCGCGGCUUAUCAGCUUGUUGGUGGGGUAGUGGCUUACCAAGGCUUUGACGGGUAGCCGGCCUGAGAGGGUGACCGGCCACAUUGGGACUGAGAUACGGCCCAGACUCCUACGGGAGGCAGCAGUGGGGAAUAUUGCAUAAUGGGCGGAAGCCUGAUGCAGCAACGCCGCGUGCGGGAUGACGGCCUUCGGGUUGUAAACCGCUUUCGCCUGUGACGAAGCGUGAGUGACGGUAAUGGGUAAAGAAGCACCGGCUAACUACGUGCCAGCAGCCGCGGUGAUACGUAGGGUGCGAGCGUUGUCCGGAUUUAUUGGGCGUAAGGGCUCGUAGGUGGUUGAUCGCGUCGGAAGUGUAAUCUUGGGGCUUAACCCUGAGCGUGCUUUCGAUACGGGUUGACUUGAGGAAGGUAGGGGAGAAUGGAAUUCCUGGUGGAGCGGUGGAAUGCGCAGAUAUCAGGAGGAACACCAGUGGCGAAGGCGGUUCUCUGGGCCUUUCCUGACGCUGAGGAGCGAAAGCGUGGGGAGCGAACAGGCUUAGAUACCCUGGUAGUCCACGCUGUAAACGGUGGGUACUAGGUGUGGGGUCCAUUCCACGGGUUCCGUGCCGUAGCUAACGCUUUAAGUACCCCGCCUGGGGAGUACGGCCGCAAGGCUAAAACUCAAAGGAAUUGACGGGGCCCCGCACAAGCGGCGGAGCAUGCGGAUUAAUUCGAUGCAACGCGUAGAGCCUUACCUGGGUUUGACAUGGAUCGGGAGCGCUCAGAGAUGGGUGUGCCUCUUUUGGGGUCGGUUCACAGGUGGUGCAUGGCUGUCGUCAGCUCGUGUCGUGAGAUGUUGGGUUAAGUCCCGCAACGAGCGCAACCCUUGUUCACUGUUGCCAGCACGUUAUGGUGGGGACUCAGUGGAGACCGCCGGGGUCAACUCGGAGGAAGGUGGGGAUGACGUCAAGUCAUCAUGCCCCUUAUGUCCAGGGCUUCACGCAUGCUACAAUGGCUGGUACAGAGAGUGGCGAGCCUGUGAGGGUGAGCGAAUCUCGGAAAGCCGGUCUCAGUUCGGAUUGGGGUCUGCAACUCGACCUCAUGAAGUCGGAGUCGCUAGUAAUCGCAGAUCAGCAACGCUGCGGUGAAUACGUUCCCGGGGCU
rnacentral:rRNA from 1 species